GCAGCCCCGCCCGGUCCAGCCGUGGCGCGAAUAGAGCGCGGMGGCCCGUGGGGGGAGCGCGCGGUGUGCGCAUGCGCGCGGGUCACCGCACCCUCCCUUUUGCCUUUGCCGCACAGGCGGUGAGGGCUGAGAGCGGAAGUGCUGCUAGGCUGGUGUUCCGUCGUGGGCGCGGAGCGCAGGAGCGGCUCUGUGGGGGAUGGGGCGGAGUCGCUUCGCCGGAGGGAAAUGUGUGUCCGGUUUGCCGAAUGGUGUGCGUCCUUUGAUCCCAGCACUUCUCACCGUSUGGAUUUGCCCAAGGGGAUGUGCCUGUAUACCCCUUCCCAAAGGAGCGCUGGGAAUCAGUUGCGUCUCUAAAAUGGAAUAGCAGCAGCUUUCUCGUAAAUCAUGGGGUUUUAAACGCAGCGCCGUGAUCGUUAUGUGUGAGCUGUAAACAAGUAGGAGCAUUCUGCUUAAACAAAUAGUAUUUCUGCAGAAAAUGCUUACAUUUGUUGGUAUUUURUCAAGCUUUACGUUUUGAGAAACCCAGGAGGGCGCUUCAUAGAAUCACAGGUCGGUUUGAGUUGGAAGGAACCUUAUGGCUAAUCUCAUUCCAAGCCUGUGCCGUGUGCAGAGAUACCUUUCAUGAGAGCAGGUGGCUCAGGAUCCUGUUCAAUGGACAUUCCUGGGCUUCCAGGAAUGGAGCAUCUGCCCAGUUUUCCUGGGCAACCUGUGCCAGUGCCUCACCACCCUCACAGUAAGGAACUUUUUCCUGACAUCUAUCCYAAUUCCCCUUUUAGUUUAAAACUGCUCCCACUGAUCUUACCACUGUCUACCUGUGUAAAAACUCAUUCUCCCUCUUUCUUACAACCCCACCUCUAGAAAGGGGCUCUAAGGUCUCCAGUCUUCUCUGGACCGAACACUGCUUUCUCAGCCCAUCUCCUUAGCAGAGGUGCUCCAGUCCUGUGAUCAUCUUUGCAGGCCUUCCUGGACUCACUCCAGCAGGUCCAUGUCUUUCUUGUGUUGAGGACCCCAGAGCUGGACACAGAACCCCAGGUGAUGGUCUCAAGACAUCAGAGCGGAGGGCCAGAAUCACCUCCUUCAACCUGUUGACCAGAAAUAGUAAGAGAUGAGAUGCAUUUGGAGAGCAACUGAUUUGAGACACAUUUAACACUUGUGGAGUUAUUGCCACUGGUACAGACAUCACCUAACAUGUGAAGUUGCUCUCCUGAGCCCUCRUCUCAAACACUAGGCAAGUUUUUAGAAAUGCAUUAGAGAAGACAUGUUUUUACUGCCUGUGCCACCUGGAUACAAAGCUGUCUUAAGCUGGAUAUAUCUGCCUCAUUAUUCAGAAGAGAGUCAAGGCUCCCCAAAAUACACUUCUAGACUGUCAAAUGUAGUCUCUACUGCCACAGUUGAAGAAGUUGUAACAUUUACAGAUAAUUAAGAAGUCUGCAAGUGUAAUGUUAAAGCAAGGCAACUGAGCUGCUGAAGGAAAAUUUAUUGUAAUACCAUCUACAGUCCCUAAGUGACAGAAGUUAAGUUUAGAUCAACAAAGGCCAAGUCACCUAACACAUGAAAACUUGCAUCCUAAAUCAGUACAAAGUUAUUUAUUAAGUGAACAACGUGAACACAUCAUGUAAUAUGUUCUGUUUAUUUCUCACUUUCCAUUAUUUAGGAUAUUUUUUGUAAGGCAAAGACUAUUAAGAGAUUCACUUAAAGCCUGAUUUAACACGUGAGAGGACAUGAAGAAAYAGACUGGCAAGAUCAUAAAAAUAUUUUUCAUAAAGGGAUUGUUAAUUUUAUUUUUGACAGCAUGUCAGGCUGGAAAUUUUCCAUUUAGGAAUAUAAUUCUAAAUGUUCCAGCUACUGUGGAAGCAUUUCCCAGCAUUUUGAAAUAUAGUGACAGGACAAGGGGGAAUGGCUUUAAACUGACAGUAUUUAGAUUGGAUGUUAGGAAAAAAUUCUUUACUGGGAGGGUGGUGAGACUAGCACAGUUUGCGCAGAGAAGCUGUAAAUGCCCUGUCUGGAAGUGUUAAAGGCCAGGUUGAAUGGGGCUCUCAGCAACAUGGUUUAGUGGAAAGUGUUCCUACCCAUGGCACGGAGUUGAAACAAGAUGACCUUUAUGGUCCUUCCAACCCAAAACAUUCUGUAGUGACUUUAUGGUUUAGUACAAAAUAUAAAAUGUAGGAGUGGGUUUACUUGGUGGUACUUUCGACUUACGUAGUUGGCUGCUCAGCUUAUUUGAAAUACUUCCAUGAAUAGUGGGGCUAAUUAAGUUUGGUUUUCUGUGGAUUUCUCUCACAUGAUUGAUAGAUUAGAAGUGUUUUAGGAGUGUAUCUGUUUGAGGCAUUGAUGGUAUCUCUGACCUAAACACAGGCAGUAUAACUAUAAUCAAGAAUUUCCAGUGAUAAGCACAUUUGAAACAGGCCAGUGGGUUCUGAAUUAGGUGCAAAAUCACUUACCAGCAUAGAAACAGACAGAUCCAUUGCAAUUUACACGUGGCUGCAUCAUAUGCCUUAUUUCUCUGAGACAUCAAAACAAAAGGAGAACACUUGUAUUUGUGCCAGUAGUGUGUUCAUUUCACCUGUUUUACCAUACUCUAACACAGAAAGUUUUGACUGCAGAAGUAGUGGGCUCAUUUUCGUGUGCAUGAGUGUGUGUGUGUGUCUGUGUUUUUCUAAGUUGCCUCAGGACCUAGGUCUGGCCUGAGUUUUCUAGAUAUUAAUCCCCACCCCUAGCCUCUCCAUUUUAUUUAAAAAAUGUGACCAAAUAAUUUUAACUAUGUAUGAAAGUACAUACUUUUAACACAUUGGUUCAGCUAGCUGUGCCAUGCACACACAUAUUCACUCAUGUAUAUACAGCUAUAUGCAUAGAAAACUUGUGUUGUCUUAAUGUGCUAUUUCAAAUGGAACACAAUAAAAAACAGAAAUGAAAUUUGU